GGUGGAGCCUGCGCACAAGCUGGUGCGCCCGUGUAGGCUGGUUUUUUCCGGCCUGCGGUGGGCCUGGACUCCUACUAACCCGAACUUCGGCGUAGACGUAGUGUUAAGCCGUAGUUCAUACACGCCUCUGUAGUGGCAAAACCUGGGACUCCAGUCACUCAUUCUUUCUACAAAUGUGCCUUGAGCCCCCGGUGCUUAUGGGCCUGUGGUAAGCUAGUGGCAAAACCCCGAAGCUAUUUGGUCUCCUUGCGGGAGCUCGGCGCUUGCUGCGGCCACGCUCUGCUUGGUUGGGCGUGGCCUCCUGUGAGAGGGGCCCUAGGAUGAGGCGCUAUGCUGGAUUCCUGGGCUUCCUUAACAUGAGCCCUCCCCUGCUGUAGGCGUGAAUGGAACCCGUUAAGUUAGGGGAACGUUCCCGGCACUCCUUUUCUUUCCUCUCAAGUGCCAGUGGGAUGUCCGAAUAGGGUCUGGCACCAUGACUGUCCGGACUCAAAAGUGCCUUCAGGAGGCCCUAGCAAAAUUUACAAGUGUCUGCCUGGAGUAGUAGCAGCUCUUGUGAUGGACUCCGGACAGCUAGCGUUCAUUCCCUGACUCCCUUGUUACUUUUUAAGUAAAAUAAUGAAAAUUUUUCAAAUAGAGUAAUACAAACUCCUGUGGACCGACCACUAGCUUGAAAUUUUAUCAGACUUGCUUUCAUUCUUUUUUCCUCUCAGCUUUAUUGAGGUGUAAUCAAUGAUUCAUUCUUUUUAAAUAGAACAAUACAGAUAGGCAGAAGCCCAUGUGUACCUCCUCCAUCUCAUUCUGUCUCCCUCCCCAGUGGCAAUCACUGUGCUGAGAAUGUUGUAUAUCAUUAUGUCCAUGCAUGUCCUUAUAUGCAUACCCAUAAAUAAUAUUUUCUUUUGCAUGUUUAGACAUAUCAUGGAAUGGAGUCAUAGCUGUACCUCUCAUUGUGCACCUUUCUCCUCUCUCAAAAUUAUACUCUCAAGAUUUAUCCAUUUGGCCAAUCGCUAGAUAAUUUUCACUGCUCAUUGUAUGACUGACCCAUAUUUGUGUUUACAUUCCUUAGUGAGAGAGGUUAUUUGUACUUUAAUGGCCUCACAGAGCAGCAAUGAACAUCAUGUGCAAUGGAUUCACCAAGCAGAUUCCCAAAAGUGAAUUUGCUGGGAAAUUUGCAACUUUGUUAGCUAUUACCAAAUUGCUCUCUGGGUUGAUUGCACCAGUGUACCAAUUUAGACUCCCAUAGGCAGUAUACGUAGUUUGAGGGCCCCAGUGGACUAAUGUCUGAUUCAUGUAUGAGAAAUCUGAACUGAGAGAUGCUAGCCGAGGCAGCUUGGGGUGGAGGUGGGAGGCAGAGAAUAAUGGUUGCAGAGGGAUCAGCUUGCAUACGCAGAAUUUGCCAGCACAAAGAACAUGCAGGUGUUUCCCAUGGAGCAGAUGUGGACCACCAUGAGAUAGCUGAGAUGGGAUCAUCUUAGGUCCUGCCCAACAGGCCUGGGAAGAAGGCAAUGGACUUCAGCACUGAGAACCUCAAAGAGUCACCAAAUUCCUAGAGGCUGAAAAAGGAGUACACAUUUGCCUUGCCAAAGGAACCGCAGAGUCUUGUUCUGCUGCCCAGGCUGGAGUGCAGUGGCGGGAUCUCGACUCACUGCAAGCUCCGCCUCCUGGGUUCACACCAUUCUCCUGCCUCAGCCUCCCAAGUAGCUGGAACUACAGGCGCCCACCACCAUGCCUGGCUAAUUUUGUUUUUGUAUUUUUAGUCCCCUUUCAGGGGCCAGGAUGAAAAACCUCAGAAGGUGAAAAGUGGAUCAGAGAAAGACUAUACCUCACUUCAAAGACACUUUUUUUUUUAGACGGAUUCUUGCUCUGUCGCCCAGGCUGGCGUGAUCUCGGCUCACUGCAACCUUCGCCUCCUGCCUCCUGGGUUCAAGCAAUUCUCCCUGACUCAGCCUCCCGAGUGGCUGGGAUUACAGGUGCCUGCCACCACACCCGGCUAAUUUUUGUAUUUUUAGUAGAGACGCAGUUUCUCCAUGUUGGCCAAGCUAGUCUUGAACUUCUGAACUCAGGUGAUCCACCCGCCUUGGCCUCGCAAAUUGCUGGGAUUACUGGCGUGAGCCACCACCCCCAGCCUAAAGACACCAUUUUUAAAUUAAAAUUAUUUUUCCAUGUUCUUACAAAAUGAACUUUUUAAUUAAAUCCAAGUACAUCUUCAGAAUGUUUCUAGAGUUGAAAGGCACAGUGCAAAUAGAAAUCACUACAAUCAACAAAAUUGAAAAAGAUUUUUAAAAGUAUUUUUAGCACAAAAAAGUUUUCUUUAUAUCAAACUAAAUUCAGAGCAUUACAUCAUUCCCAGAAUACCUAGUUUGAAGCUUAUUUUUUUUUCCAUUCACUUGCAAGCUGGAUUAAGACAUUAACUAUAAUAAUAUGGAAUGUUUGGCAUUUAUGUUUGGUAACCAGAUGUAUAUGGUUUGUAUAACCAUACUUUAGAAUUUAGUUUGUUCAGAUAAAUUGGUUUUGG